UACGUAGGUGGCGAGCGUUAUCCGGAAUUAUUGGGCGUAAAGCGCGCGCAGGCGGUUCCUUAAGUCUGAUGUGAAAGCCCAACGGCUCACCGUGGAGGGUCAUUGGAAACUGGGGAACUUGAGUGCAGAAGAGAAGAGCGGAAUUCCACGUGUAGCGGAUGAAUGCGUAGAGAUGUGGAGGACACCAGUGGCGAAGGCGGCUCUUUGGUCUGUAACUGACGCUGAGGCGCGAAAGCGUGGGGAGCAAACAGG
rnacentral:rRNA from 1 species